AGGCCUGCGUGGGGCUGGAGACCAAUGCGACCAACCCCGGCUCCCCCUCUACCCACAGUCAAACCCCUCGCGGCCUUUUCUGCGGGAUGCCCCAACUCUGCGCGGAUGUCUGGGACUCACCCAGCCUCGCCACAGAUACGCACGCUCCAUUCCUGGCUGCCGGCGCCACCAACUAUAGCUCGGCGCCUCCGGAGGCUGCUCAGGGGACAGGAGCGAGCCUUGGAGCCGCAGGACUCAGCGCUCGGCCUGAGCGCCUGGCUGCCAGGAAGCCACUGCAGCUGCCCUACCCACCCCCUCAAUCCUGGAUUUCCAGAGCCGGAGAGGAACGAUUGCCCCCAACGGCCCCUUUUGUGCCACUGGGUGUGGGCUGAAAUCCCUCUUGCAGAGAAAGCUGACUUUCAAUAACUGUUGAGCUCACCUCACAAUUGCACUGUUUGGUUAGGGCUUUGCUGUCCUAGAGUGACUUCUCCUUCUCAGUUGGCUCCGACUGGCUUAUGAUUGGAUUUUUUUUUUUAAAUUUAAAAAAUAAAUCCUACUCCCAACACCUAGUGUUUUGUGCAUGAGCUCUUUUGAUCUCCACAGAAUCUGGAGUAAAAGGAUUGCAAAGAGAGUCUCCUGGUCCACCAGAGAACCUGAACACGAGGAACUAGGUCUGCCUGGGGACACCACAGCACAGCUGACCCGAGGAGCCCCCAGCAUCUCACUGUGGGGAAGUUGCCCCGAGCCCACAGCUCCCGGGACACACACUGCACUCCCCAAAAGAAUGCUCUUGCUCCUUUCAAAGUUCAGACAUGGAGUCACUUGGCGAAAAGUGAAAUUUGACACAUCCAACCCGGAAAUGGAUCCCAUUUGGGGGUGCUGAAAUUCUGGGGACUGGGCCCAGGCUGGCCAGCUGAAUGGAGUUGGGGAUCAGGGUGGGGGGAUGAAAGCAAAGGCCAGAUGGGGCAUGUUGAGUGCCUGAGAACUGCCCCAAACCCCUCAGAGGCCUGGGCUGAGGGGUUGAGAGGCCGCUGGAGCUGCUUUUGCUUUAUUUGCAAUGAAACAGAGAGGAGGGCACUGGAGGAGCUCUGCUAACUCGCCUCCUAUUUUCUCCUCUCCCUCUCUCGCUCUCUCCAGAUUUCUGCCUGGCCUUUCUUUACCACCUCUCCACUUAAUGCUGCUGCUGUCCACAGACCCAAACUCCCACGCCGGUGUUUGGCUCCCCAGUUCACUUCUCUGGCUGAAGGUUAAAAAGUAAAAUAGGUCCUAGGCAUCUCUGUCCCAUCACACUCAGCCCUGAGCCCCUUUCGGGUUCCCUCUGGAAGAAAUCACUUCUGGCUUUUGGGGCCUGGCCCCCAAGCCUCCCAACUCUAUCCCAAGCAGCUGAGAAGGGGGGACAAAGACAGCCUCCUUGGGACCCAGUAUCUCAUCCCCAUUGGGAAUGGGCAGGGAACUCAGACCCUGACUGGCAUUUCAGGGAGGCAAAGCAAGUGGCCCGGCUUGGCCCAGGAGGGAAAAUGAAAAUCCAGACUAUUCACACUAUUUUUAACCUCCAGAACAAGGCCAGAGGAUCCCCAACUUCCUGGCUUCUCUUAUACCCGCACGCCCUGGCACUGCUUGGACCCAUUUUUGGAGGCUUAGGAGAAUCGUAAAAUUCAAGAACGCAGCAUGUAUGACGUCACAGUGAGUUGUCAUGAGGAAAUUGUAAAUGUUAUGAAAGUUAUAUGCCGCAGGAGCUGUGGGUGGGGGUACCCUGCCUCCCCUCACUUUCCCGGCUUUCCCUCUUCUCCUCCCUCUGGUCUGAGUUCUCCCAUUUGAAAAUAAAAUGUUAUUAUGUUCUGGAACAAUAAGCCAACAAUGAAACAUCGUCUUAUUUCCCUAUAAAUAAUUUUAUCCUUUAUUGUUUGCAGAUCUGAAAGAGCCAUUUAAUCUGCGCUGGCGAAAAUAGGGAGAGAGAUGGGGAGGGGGAAAUUAAUUUCAGAAACGAGAAUAUUACUUACUUCGAUGAUACUCUUUUAGAUUUGAUAGCCAGGAGCAAAAUUAGAGGCGAAGAGCGGCCUCGCCGACUCUACACCUGGCGGGAUUGGAGAUUUAUAGGGUCUUUAGCGAAGGGGCAAUUUAAUUUUGUAGGAUUUGCUUAAAUUCACUGCUAUUUUGGGGGGCUGAGGAGAAGGGAGGGUGAGAGCGAGAGCGACAUGCUUUAUCUAGCUUUAUGAAUCCGCCAACGUUACCCUGAUUUAAAACCCAACAACCUGUGUCUCAGGGAGAACUCCUGCUGAAAGAAGUGGGGUGAGGGGGACUCAACUUCCUCAAUGAGCGGAGCCCCCUUAACCAGGCAGCCGCCAGGAGGAAGGAAGAAAAGCUGCAGGGCCGCUCUGACCCUCCACCACCAGGACACCCACCCGGAGGUUUAUGGUGUCCCCAUCAUUCCCCCGACCCUAGAAACAGCUGCCUUAUUUUAGGACGGCUUCUGCUUCCUCCCCUCGGAAGGGAGAGUGAGGAAGGGGGUGGUGGCGGGAGCGGGGUGCCAGGAAGGGGAGGGAGUUGGGGAGAGCGCAGCACUUUGUUCUCCUGGGUGAGUUUGCUGGUUUGGCGGGUUUCUGACGCAGGGUGGCAGCAGACAAAACAAGUAAACAACUCACAGACACAAUAAACAGGGGCGGCUGCGGCGCCGUGGCAGAGGCCGUGGGCCUGGUGAGGGGCACACUUUGGGGGUAACAUGGCCCCAACGCUUGGGGGGGUUCGGUGGGGGGGAGCGCCGAGGCCCCAAAGCCCAAGGCUGCCUUUGGCCGGCAGCGGAGAGAAUGUGCGAGCCAGCUGCACGCCUGGGCGCCUGCAGCGAGUCUGGACAGGAGACUCUUGGGAGGAACCUGAUCACCUAGGGAGUGGAGAAAAACCCCGCCAGCCCCUCUCCUGUCCUUAAUUUCUUUCCUGGGGGUUGAUGGACCUUUAUUUCCCCCUACCCACCGUCUGCAGCCGGGAGAAAGAUGGGAAACGGAGGCUGGUUGAUUCCCAGCCCAGGCCCACACUCUGGGCUCUAGGCCCACAGGCGGCCAGACCAGCUUCUUCUGCCCCAUCAGCCUCACCCUGGCUCAAGUUGCAGAUCGGAUUAAAAUGAAGUCCCACCAGUAACCAGAUCUGGGCAUUUGGGGGACCUUAGAGAGCCCCAAUCUGCCCCACAAAUGACACAGACAUAGAAACGGGGCAAGCAGCGGCAGGGGGGGAGGCGGACAGAUGUUCACCGCACACCCCUACCCGGCUGGCUCGCCUUCUCCAGCGGCCACUCCAGGCACCCUAACCCGCAGCAGCUACCCAGAGGCCACCUUACUGAGCACUCAGCAAGGCUUCAAGCGCCAGGGCCCAAUGACCGCUCAGAACUGCUCAGAGGCCUACCUCACCCACGAAAGUUGCCUAAAGAACUCACUUUCAGCACAAGAGCAUUCUCCUGGUAAAAGAGUCCUGAGCUGGGGAAGUUUUUGGGGAGGUGUGGGAGAGGGCAGAAGGGAGUCCACAGUCUUUCCUCAGCCCAGCUGCUUGGACAGCGAAGGCAGUGAGGUCUAGAGAAAGCUUUUGUGGCAGCCCCUGGUUACUGAAACCCGCAUAGUCCGAUUCCAGCAAGAACACAUUUUCCCGUAGAGCACACACAGCACAGAGAGCACCCAGUGCCUUUCUAAACCCACGGCCAUCUAGUGAGGACUAACAAAAUUUCGCAUGCACAUAAAACGGUGUUUGAGCGAAUAUAGGCAUGGUAAUAUACAAUUAACCACUGAGGAAAUAUGAGUCUGUAUCUAUUCAUGCAGAAGUCUGCGCCUGUACAUUUGAGCCUCUAUAUAAUAAAUGUAUAAAGCUACCAAGCCUGCUUUAUGAACACAACAGCCAAGCCAACAAGGCCGCCUUCUCCAAACAAGGUCGCAUUCUUCGUGGAGAUCACAACUGUCAGAUCUGGGAGAGAAAGGGUUUGCUCUGCCCAUUUCUCCUUAGCUAGGAGCUGGCGCAUGAAAUACAGCCUGUGGCAGGACUGACAAAGCCCCGUAAGGGGCAGGCCUGGGGUGCCCAAAGCAUGGGCUCAGAGGAGGAUUCUGGGGGCCCAGGGCUUCAGGGAGUGUCACCAGACCCUAACCCACAGAUUGGAGGAUUCUGCCCGACCUUAGCCCUGGGCGUGCAGAGUCCUUGAGCCUGAUUCUCUUCUCAGUCGACUGCGCUGGCUAUUAUUAGAUAAUCACAGCAGCUCUCUUGCUCUAAGGACCAUGCCUACAGGGAAUCUGGCCUGCAGGGAGGCUGAGAGUUGUCACUGGUGGCCCCUCUUGUGCUUCUGUUUGAGUGCCAGCGCCAGCCAGGGAGAGAGAGGAGGGAAGGAAAAUCGAAAGUAAGGAGGGAGGGAAGGGGCUGGCAUUUGGGGCUGGCCUUUUCCCCUAGCCAAACUGGAAGGUGGAAAACCUGGGCCAGCCGCUGCUGCUAUGCUUUCUCUGUAUCCCUCUGUCUCCUAAGGAAAAGUCUAGGGGUGAAGGGAGUGUGGGCCUGCAGGACCCUAGUCAGGAAGGGACAGAAAAUCAAUUGAUAAAAACAUUAUAUAAGGACAUCAAAGGAUAGUGCUAUUAAGCCGACAGCCAGGAACCCUAGCACGAACUGAAAUCUCACCAGCCACCUUCGUUUAGAUCUCUUUAGGUGGACAGAAAUACCCCAGCCUUGCCCAGGCCCACCCCUCCAAAGGGAGGGGGGUCCCUCUAGUAUCCCAGGUGAAUCCCCACUGGCCUGAGUGGCCUUCUCCGGAAACUGUCGUCCUCGGGGGCAAACAAAGGAGACCUGCCCCCCCCCAACCAAGUCAGUGCGGCCAUCUGCAGGGGCGGGGGCGGACAAAAUACAGCGAAAGAGAAAUAGAGGCCUCACCGAUCGGCGGUUCCCACAGUACACCAGGAGAAAGGCUCCCAUUUUCAGGCCUCCGGGGCCCCUCCACUGGCCCACUGUGCUCCCCUUGCCCUUUGCAGAGCGCAAGGAACUCGGGGUUCGGCGGCCGCGGCCUGGCUCCCCGGGGCGUCAGCCCCCGGGCCGCGCUGGAGCUGCGGGAGAGCGCGCAGCAGCCUGAGCAGGCGGCGGGCUGGGCCCAUUUGGGGAGAGCCAAGCGCUUUUCUCGAGAUCGUAAACAAGGAACGCGAAAUUAGCCCCUCGGCAGACGCCUCUGCCGACACACACAAGUCCUAUUGGGGGGGGUGGAAGGGGGAGAGAAAAUGCCAUUUCUUCCCCCGGGAGAAUACCUCCGAGGCCUUUAUGUCGGCUGCGAAAGGGAAAUUUUGGGGGGGCAGGAGAGGAAGGGAAAGGGAUUGUGGGGGGAGGGGAGGGAAGAUUCACCCUCAACCCGGGCCCAAGGGGUUUGAUUUGAAUGCAGCCGAACUACAUUUUUAAGAAUUUAAUAAAAACAGGUUAUCCCCCCGCCCCACCACCACCAAGGCGACUGGUCAGGGUUUAAACAGGAAAUCGAGGAGCAAUCCCCUCCCCCACUCAGGCUCGGCGGCGAAGUCCAGUCACGGCGUUGGGAGAGGAUUGGGGGGCGGGGGGGGGGCGUGCUCUUGGUUCGGACCGAAGGUGACUCUGGACUGUCAGACCUCUCCAGGAAUAUGCGGGCCCCCACCCCAGGUUUGGGUGUGUCUGUCUGGGUGUGCAAGCGAUUAUGUAUACAUCGCCCUUUAUAAACAGAAGCUCACACAUAUAGGGGCCGCCUCGGACCCAGGCCAGGGAGCAGGGCAGGGUCAUAUAUCAAGCUGCAACACAUUCAGGGCCACGUACAUUUGGAAGAAAUUAAGCCACUAUGUUAUGAAACCAUAUGUGUUGGGUUAAGACUAUACAACACGCCAUUAGCACCAAUUAUUAGGAAGAUCCCGAGCGCCCAGGACCCUCCGGGCUGCCCAAUUCUGACGUCCCUACCCCACGAGCCAGCCGCGCCUUGAGUCCUCACUGCCUCCGCUCACCCAGCAGGCCCCCGCAACGAGGCCUGGGCCCGUCCCUACCCAGUCCGGGGGCCUCCCCAAGUCCCACCUCCGCCUCAGACUGGGCAGAUCCCAGCCCAGAGCAGCCAGGCCAGGCGGGUGAAGCAGCCCAGUGGGUAUCCUGGGUGGGGUGGCCGCGGUUGGAAGUGGAGAACGCCAGGCCGGGGGAGAGAAGGCAGAUUGGCCCCCUUUCUCCAAGCACAAGAUGGCUUUUGAGUACCGAGUCCCCCACCCCCACCCAUUCACCCGCAGUACUAGGCACCUCCCAUCUUUCCAUCCGCUCGAGUGGGGGGUGGGAGCAGGGAGUGGGCAGACGCUCUCCCCUCCGCUGACGCGCACCAGCCACCAGCCUCCCCCCUAAUUGCCAAUUAACAGGCCCCACCGCCCGCCUAGCUGCGCUCUCUUCCUGCUCCGCGGCCCGGCCCUGGGCCCGCACUGCGCAUGUGUGAGCUCUUGCGGUCGCGCGCUCCGGGAGGGAGGGGGCAGCGGGGCAGGGAGGGGCGGCUGGAAAGUUUGUUUGGGGGUUGGGGGGCUGACUUUGCUCCUCGAGCAAUGGUUCUCUCAGCCCAAGAUUCUCUCUUCUGCCUGGGGUUUGAGCUCCCGGCCCCCUCUGUCCCAGUCUCAUUAGCCAAGAGGCCGCAUAUCUCUAACAGGUAAGAACACGCUCCGCGCACUAGACCCCGGCCUUGAGCCCCGCAGGCGCAGUCCUCUGGUCCCCCCGACCCCCAACUUCAGCGCACAGUGACAAAAGGACAACACACUUCCCCCACUACCAUGUUCCAGCUUAACCCAAUUUCUUCUCCCCCCCCCACUUUUCCUCCCCAUAAUUGCCCACGCGCCCACCCUCUCGCCAGCCCCCUCUCCUCUCCUAACCGAGACAAGCCGCUGCUGUCCUUAUCUUGAAACCGCCACCCAGCUACGGACCAUUAGUUACAUAUUUGAACCAAUAAGGAAACACUUACCGAGCGCUGCUGUCACUCUCCCUCUCCCUCUCUCUGUCUGCCUCUCUCUCUCUCCCACUCUCUGUCUUUCUCGUCUUCCCUCAUUCUGUGCCGCUGCCGAGCCUGUCUCAGCUCCACAUACAUAUAUACACUUUAUAUAAAUUUAAAAAUAAAAAAGAAUAGUCCCAAUAAUCAAAAAGCCAAAUAAAAUUGAGAGUUGCGGGGGGGGGCAGGAGGGAGAGCUUGGGAGAGGGGAGGGGCGGAGGCAUCUGCAGCUCCCUAUCUCAACUCCUGCUCCCGCAUUCCUCCUGCCCCUUGGGGGGCUAGAGGGUCGGGAUGGGAGAGAGGGGUGCCCUCUACUCCUGCCUCUCCCCCCCUCCCCCCUCCCCAGGUGCCCCCAGCUUCCGGCAACUCCAUCUGGGAGGAAAAAAAAAUAAAUGAGAGGAGAAAAGAAUUAUUAAUCAGAUUAAUAAAAAAAAAAAA